AUUGAACGCUGGCGGCAUGCUUUACACAUGCAAGUCGAACGGUAACAGGCCGCAAGGUGCUGACGAGUGGCGAACGGGUGAGUAAUGCAUCGGAACGUGCCCAGUCGUGGGGGAUAACGCCGCGAAAGCUGCGCUAAUACCGCAUACGAUCUAUGGAUGAAAGCGGGGGACCGUAAGGCCUCGCGCGAUUGGAGCGGCCGAUGUCAGAUUAGGUAGUUGGUGGGGUAAAGGCCCACCAAGCCAACGAUCUGUAGCUGGUCUGAGAGGACGACCAGCCACACUGGGACUGAGACACGGCCCAGACUCCUACGGGAGGCAGCAGUGGGGAAUUUUGGACAAUGGGCGCAAGCCUGAUCCAGCAAUGCCGCGUGCAGGAAGAAGGCCUUCGGGUUGUAAACUGCUUUUGUACGGAACGAAACGGUUCUCUCUAAUACAGGGGGCUAAUGACGGUACCGUAAGAAUAAGCACCGGCUAACUACGUGCCAGCCGCCGCGGUAAUAC
rnacentral:rRNA from 1 species